rnacentral:rRNA from 1 species
GACGUAGGGCGCGAGCGUUGCUCGGAAUGACUGGGCGUAAAGGGCGCGUAGGCGGUGUACACAGUCAGGCGUGAAAUUCCCGGGCUCAACCUGGGGGCUGCGCUUGAUACAUGUACGCUUGAGUUCGGAAGAGGGUCGUGGAAUUUCGGGUGUAGCGGUGGAAUGCGUAGAUAUCCGAAAGAACACCGGUGGCGAAGGCGGUGGUCUGGGCCUGAACUGACGCUGAGGAGCGAAAGCCAGGGGAGCAAACGGG